GACGUAGGGCGCGAGCGUUGUCCGGAUUUACUGGGCGUAAAGAGCUUGUAGGCGGUUUGUCGCGUCUGCUGUGAAAUUUCGGGGCUCAACCCCGAACUUGCAGUGGGUACGGGCAGACUAGAGUGUGGUAGGGGGAGACUGGAAUUCCUGGUGUAGCGGUGAAAUGCGUAGAUAUCGAGAGGAACACCUGCGGCGAAGGCAGCUCGCUGGGACGGUACUGACGCUGAGGCGCGAAAGCGUGGGGAGCAAACAGG
rnacentral:rRNA from 1 species